GUCUGGGUGGAGUGGCUGAAAAACAGUAUGAAAGAAGGAAGAGGAGAAGUUCUAAGCCCCAGGACAGAAACAAUUUCCACACACUUACAGCCUUGGCUUUCAAAAAGUGGUGCAACACAGUACAGAAUCAGGGUCAACCACUGUUGCUGCUUUUUAAUAUAAGUAGAGAAAUGACUUUGCACUCACUGCAUCGAGGAUUGUGAAGUUCAGAAAGUACCACCUGCUCUCUUAAACGGGCAGGGAUAAGAAGUGAUGCUGGAAGAAAGGUAAAAGUGAUAUAAGAUGUGAAAUAGGGAAUGCAAGUAGUUACCAGCGAAACACCAAAAGGCAUCUUCAGUUUUUGUAAAGCUGCAAAUACCGCUGCUGUGAUCAGCUUCUGGGAAAACACAGCAGAACAGGCCAUGUACCUGGACGCUGAAGAUGUCAAGGUGUUGAACGUGGUAUGUACCUGAUGUCUGAUGACAAACUGGUGUUCAUCCAUUUUGCCCCGUUUAAAAAAGCCUCAGGCAGCCUCCAGCCUCUUGUCUUGCUGGGGCACUCCAACCUCCUUCCUCCCCUGGAGCAGCCCUGAGACCUCCAGUCCGCCCCCCCCCCCCCGGGUUGCUGCUGGAGCCCCCCCACCCCCUGCAAACCAGCACCCCUCACCUGGCCUGAAAAAAACAAUAUUCUGUCAGUUUUUAUGUGCUACAACAAAACAGUCUCCGGUAGAUUAAUUCAGCAAAUUGUUGAAGAGCAAACCAAUGAGCUCUGCAUGGAAAAUUAUCUAUUUCAAACUUCCACACUAUACUUUAGACAUAUUAUUGCUUUUACUGAUACAAAAUGAAAUUAAUGUGCAAGAAGCUACUCUGUCACACAGAAACUUGUUUGGUCGCUUCAGUGCUUUGCAGCCCUUGCGGAACCUGAUAAACUCCGGGGUUAAGUGAAUGCUUCUGCACAGGAACAACUCUUUAAAAGCAUGGCUGCACCGUCUACUCUAUGCACACAAUGCUCCUGCACACUUUUACAUCCACCACUGUAUUAAUGUCAACACCACGGGCAAGAAAAGUGAAAGAAUAGAGGCCACAUUGUGGUUUCUCCAAGGAGGUGUUUGAAUAUUGUUGAAAGAAAUCUUUCUCUCUCUCUUAUUUUUAUUU